UGCAGCUGUUCUGAAAAAUGCUGAACCAAUCUCACUGCUUUUGUAUCUGUCAUAGGCAACUUCCUUAGCUAAGGAGAUAUCAAGCAGUUAGCUCAGUGAAAUUGCUCUUUCUUAGCUGAAGGUCCCUGUCCGCUAAGAAGGAAUACAUCAAGCCUGUCUUUUCCAUAGCUUCCAUGCACAGAAGGAUAAACAGAAAGAAACAUUUAGGUUUCAAUUUAUUACAUCGCCGGGUGUAUUAAACUCACUGAACGCAAAAUGGAAUGUACAUGUGGCAAAUAUUUCUGAGUCCAUGCUGGUGAUUAAUCUUCAGAGGUCUAAAAGAAGAGGAGGAAAGAAGAGCACCUUGAUGUCAUGAUCACUUCAACCAAGAGAAGCACAUGUUAUCUACCAUGAAUAUCUGAAUCUUUAAACAGAUUUCUUAGAAAUGAAAUACUUCGCCUAGGAUCAAAAAUGUUUGCCAACAUUCGUGAAUGGAAUAAUACUAUGUAAAUGAAUACUUCUUCUUCAAUAUAAGGCAUAUAAAAGAUUUGUUUCAGCACAUCACAGGUGAUAGAUGUGAACUGUCUAUAGUCCUACCACACCAAUUCAUUCAUGUGGGCCUAAAUCCAAAUGCUGGUCUCAACUAGACAGGUUUUGCCCAAGUACUGCCUUACUAUUCAGCAAUUGGUGAACUGGGUUUCCUUUAACUGGGAACAAGCAAUUGGAUUCAGGUCAUGGGUUUUUAAAAUAACAAUGUACAAAUAGAUCCAACUUUCUUCCUUUCUUUUAGGUUUAC